AGAAGAGGAAGGCGUUUCUCUCAGAGGGAGCACAAGCCUGAAGCUCUGGCGAUGCCAGCCCCAGGUCUGAAUUAGGAUCCUCUAACUUGCUUCCGGAACUGUCUCUCCAGCACCUCUGAUGCAUUUUACCUCACUAUAUUUUAUUUUCCGUUUUAUUUAUCUGCAUUUCUCCACACUGGUCUGUGAGCUGCAAGAGGGCAAGGAACUUAUCUGCAAGGUUGACAAUAUUCCCAGUGCCCAGGGCACAGUCGGUUCUCCAUUAAAAAUAAAAAUAAAAAAGGAAUUAGUGAAACAGCUUAAUAUGUUGUAGCAGUACAAGGAGUGGGCCACCUGCUGGGAUAUGUCUGGGGAAGCAGCGACUGCUGAGGUGGUGGCAGCUGGCAGAGGUGAGCCCCGUGGAACCCGGCGUGCUAACCUCCGGGGUUUUGACUUUAUCUUGGAGGCAACGGGGAGCCUCGACUUACACCGAAGAGGAAAGUAACCCAAGCGGGCCUGUGUUUCAGGAUGAACCUUCAGCACCAUGGAAGCCACCCUGGAGGGGCUGAUGGAGAGGCGGAACAUGGAUUAAGAUUAAGAACAUUUAGAGAGACCGGGCCAGACCGCGGCAGAGUCAGAGCACCCAUAUCAUUGCUCUUACAAAAAAAAAAAAUGGCUGGAGGGCUUUUAAUGUUGGAGUUUGAUGCUGAAGCUGGAGCCCCAGGGAAAGAGACAGUGCUGUUUGCCUGAUAGUCUACAGCUGACCUUGUGGAGAGACGCAAAGCCUAGAGAGCCCCAUAGUCUACAGCGGACUUUGUGGAGGAAAUAGGAGCUGAGCCC
rnacentral:lncRNA from 1 species